CUGAGGAAAAUCCCGCCUCUCUCCAGACAAGCCAGCCCAGCCAGGCUCCCAGGAGACGUGAGUCCACUUCCGCCUUAACCAGUGGCAUGGCAGGGCCCAUAUCUGCCCUAAGUUCAAGUCUGGAACUACAGAGCACAGAGGACGCGGAAGGAAUCUCAGGGCUUCACCUGAAAGGAACUAUCUCCCUAGAUGCUCCCCAUGCCUGAACACAGAGAGAAACUGAGACCUAGGCUGCAUUUGUUCAAGGUUACACAGUAUGUCACGGAAGAGGCUGAAUCUAGAGCCAGGCCACCUCUCAUGGAGGCAGGGUGCAGCUCCGAGCUGGACAAAGAGGCUGGGAUCAUCUUCAAGAGACCACCUGUGGGGCAGAAGGGUGGAUGUUUCCACACUGUCCUGACACUCAAUCCUUCCAACAUCUCUUAAAUGUGGGAUGAUGGAUGCAAGAACUGGAGAGGAGGGUGUAUUAAUCCCCCAAGGACUAUCCCCAUGUUGAAGAUGAAGAAGAGGGCUUGGCUUCUAGCCUGGGGAAUCCACAGCCAAAUUCCCACACAGCCAGGCUCUCUCCCAGUCCUCUAGGCUCCCGUACCCCUCCAGAGGGAGGGGCGUGCACAUCCCAGACAGGAAGCUGAAGGAGAAAGAGAAACCUGCCCUCCCACUGCUCACAACCCUUCAAAGCCAGGAGGGGAGGCAGGGACAUCAGGACCAUCAAUGCAGGGACAGGAAAUGACUCCACAAAGUGACCCAGCCAGCCUCUGAGAGCAGGCCCCGCCACCACCUAAGCGGAAGAGGCACAUGUGGGAGACUGGCAGCUGAAGGAGGAGGCCGCAGCCCCGUCACUGCCAGAUGUGGUCUCUCAGCAUUCCUGAAGAGCCAGCGCUAGGACCACGUGACAGAUGAGAAAUCUCAGCUGGCCUCUGUAGGGAGGAGGGGGACGGCUUUAAAGCAAGCCCAGUCCCGGCUGCCUGAGCCUGGGCCAGUGGCUCCCCCUCCUCCAUCAGUUCAAAAUGACACACAGACGCAGGAAGGAGCCCACGAAGCCUGGCUACGGAGAGGGAGAGGCGGAAACCCAAGCUGAAGCCGCUGGCAGAGGGGCUGACUCAUGGGGCUUUCAUAUCCUGAGCAGUCAGAGAAAGGCUCAGCGGCCCCAGGAAGAAAGUGGGUGCAGCCCCUGCAGAUAAUUAGAACACCAUAGACAGCCUGGGGCCCGUGGGGAGUCAGUCCUGGAGGCCCCAGCAUGGCAGAAAUGAAGACAUUCUGAAAAUGAGACGUCUGUGUUCCUCAAUCCUACUUUCAGACUACAGAAACAAUGGACGCCGAGAAAUGGCAAUUUCCCCAGGAAUCUCACAAUGGAACAAGGAAAAGACCAUGGCCAGAGUGGGGACCUUGGCUCCUGGAAAAGGAUUCCACAUAGUUCUAACUGUCAGAGCACCUCGCAGGACUAUAGUGAAGCCAGACAAUGAUGGCCCCGGCUGGGCAGGACCACACUCUGUCCAGGACUCCAUGCUCCAACCUUGGCCCCCUGUUUAAAGAGUUAACUUCACUUCAGGACCCCAAGAGGGACUUGGGGGGUCAGUGGAUCCUUGUCCCUCUUUCCAGUGUGAGCACACUGGAUACAUCUCCCUUCUUCAUACUAUUAAUUAGAUUAUUUUAAUUAGCUUCUCAAGGAUGGGUGGCUGAACUGUGGCUCCCAUUUGGUAACAUUUCACUCCUGCCCCUACAUUCCCCAGCUGUGAGAACCUGGGCAAGUCCAUCCCCCUCUGUGGUGUCAGUUUCCCACCAGUGAGGUGGAAAACAUCUCAUUUCUGAGGAUAGUUGUGGGACCACUCUGCAUGAAGAGGAGGAGGGUGAAAAGCCCAGGUCCCAGCCCUGAAUCAAGGCAGAGCAUCACAGCCAGCUGCUCAUCUCAGUCCGGCUCCAAGAGCAGGCCAGGCAGACACGGGAGCAGGCGGGAGCCUCGGGGUACCAGGAGGGAGCGGCAAGAAUGGUCCCGCCUAGAAGCAGGCACACCCCGGCUGUCUCACUCAGGUGAUAGGAAAUGGGCACAGGUGAGGCAGGGCUGGGGCCAUCAGUGGAAAACUUCAUUCUGGGCCAAGCGUGGGCCUGGGCCUGGCCCUGGGUGGGGGUGGACGGCAGCCUCCUUCCCUAUGGUCUGCCUAUGACUUCUCUGCUCCACCCUACGCACGAAGAUAAGUUCACCCCACUGCCCUGCGGCAGGGCCAGGUACAGACAGACAAGGGGCUCCCAAGCAGAGUGGAGGCCUAGCCAGAUGCCCUUCUGUGCUAGACAGGGGCUCCAGCAGAGACCAACCAGGGAGCCCUGGGCUGCACAAUCCAAGGUUGGCUCUCCUGGGAAGACCCAGAGCUUCAGUAGCUUUCCUGCAUGCUCCAAAGGGGCUCGCUAACCUUGACUGAGUCUGGGUCCUCACUCCACAUCACCCCCUUCUGUACUACAGCCCUCUGUGUUUACAGCAGAAUACAGAAAUAAUGGGGAGGUGGGGGCUGGGGCACAAUGACAGAACCCAACACCACCAACCACCAGCCCGCGCCCCAGGAAGCUAAAGGCUGAGCCACAAACCAUGAGCCAUUUCCCUCUUCCCCUCCUGGCUUCCUCUUCCCUAGACUGUGAGGACAUAUUCUUCCUUGAAGAUGACAACCAGGGACCUCAAGCUACCCUCUACUAGGGAGCCCUGCACUACCAUGCUCCCAUCCACCUGUGCCUGUCCUGGGCUUCUGGGUACCACUCCACCUUCCCAUCUCUAUAGUCUGGAUCCUGAGAAAGGGAUGCUGCCACACAGACAUGCCCACUAGGGCUGCCCAGCUGUACUCUGCCGCCCAAAAGGAAACACAAAUUAAAUGCCAGCUGAUUGUCUCCAUGGAGGAGGUAUUAAUUUAAUGUGAACACUUAACCCAGGCAGCCGAUCCCAUUACAGGCGGGCGGUAAUAGCUGGAGUGGGCCAUAGCCCAGACAAAAGGCUGGUGAUGGGCUGGGUUUUAAGGAACCCUCCACACCCAGCACAGCCUUCCACUAGACACAUGGGCCUAUUCACAGCCUGAACCAUCCCACAAGGCUGCUGGGGAGAGGGUAGGCAGAGUUUCAAGCCACAGAGAAGCUCUCUGUGCAGGGGAGGGUACAGAGCUAGGAGUCAGGAGAUGCAUGAGUUCUGGCUGUGGCUAAUCCACUGCAAAAUCUGAGCAAGUCUCAUCUCAACCCCGGGCCUCGGCCCACUUAUCUGUAAUAGCAUCAUCAAGAAUCCGGGAAUGUAGCUCAGUUGGCAGAGUGCUUACCUAGCACUCAUGAGAACCUUGGUUUUUUCCUCUAGCACCACAUAAACCAGGUGUGGUGGUGCACU